GAGAAUCUCGAAGCAGUACAACCCUAGAAUUGGCUGUUCUCAACCAAACUGAACCACAUCCCCCUAUGUUCGGAACACUUACCUCUCCUCCUAAUGACGGGAUGUGUCAAAGUGAGCAAGCUAUCAUUUGCGCUCCAUCUUCGGCCGAGCUUGUGGAUCAUACAGCGGGUGAUCUUGGUUUGGACCUACUUUAAUUCCUAAAUACUCUAGACAACACCACGAGU